rnacentral:rRNA from 1 species
GGGCAUGUGCACGCCCGAGCCCUUGAAUCCCAAACACCACAUGUGAACCCACCGUAGGCCUUCGGGCCUAUGUCUUAUCAUAUAAUCUGAAUGUCUAAUAGAAUGUAAACCCAUUUCGUUGCCUUGAAAACGUAACGAAAGAAAACUAUACAACUUUCAACAACGGAUCUCUUGGCUCUCGCAUCGAUGAAGAACGCAGCGAAAUGCGAUAAGUAAUGUGAAUUGCAGAUUUUCAGUGAAUCAUCGAAUCUUUGAACGCACCUUGCGCCCCUUGGUAUUCCGAGGGGCAUGCCUGUUUGAGUGUCAUUAAAUCCUCAACCCCUCCGAUUCGUUUCGGUGGGGAUUGGACUUGGAGCGUGCUGGCGAAGGUCGGCUCCUCUUUAAAUGCAUCAGCGGAGAAAAUGCCUUUUGCGCCUCUGGCCGUUCAGCGUGAUAAUGAUGUUGCGCUGCGGUCGAGCUUAAGGUCCGCUUCCAAAGGUCCUCGGACAAAUAUACAUAUGACUUUUGACCUCAAAUCAGGUAGGACUACCCGCUGAACUUAAGCAUAUCA